GGCGGGCGUCGGGCGGCGGCGCGGGCCCUGGAUUCGGCCACCACCACCGGCCUCGCCGCCGCCCGCUGCGGAGAUGGAGAAGAGGCGGGUUGCGCGGACUCGGGAGCGGCGGGGGCGGCGGGAGUGGACGACGCGACGCCGACGGUGGACGCCUCCUCUUCUCUGAUGCUCCGGCCAUCUCUCCUCUCUCUUCUCGUCGUCCCUGCAACCCUCCUCAGCCAAAGAACCACAAGAGAGCUCAGGUAGCAAGCAGAUAGAACGGGUCAAGGUAGCUUCAGAAUCAAGAAGAAGAAGAAGAGGGAAGGAGAAGGAGGAGCAAGAGCAAGCCAUGGAGGAGCCGGCGACGGUCGGGAGGGCGCGGCCGAGGAGGUAGUAGGCGGCGCAGAGUGCCACGAUGGCAGCCAUGGCGGGAAGCGUGACGAUUUUUUUUUAUCUGUGAUGAUUUUUCUUCCUUUUUUCUUUUUCAUCUUGUUGAGUCCGAUCUGUGAUAAUUGUUGAGUCCGAUCUAUGAUGACUUCAAUUUC